GAUUGGUGUUAAUAAAGUUUACCUCUAGAUACCAGGAAGUCCUAACAAAUAUCAUAUGGGCUGACACGCAUCAAUCAUUCAGAGAACAGGUCAUUAACCAAUACACAUGUAUCUACCCACUGGUUAAACAACACAGCACAAAACAUAAUGCAAACAAAAACAAAAACAAGGUUCAUACAAGUAUGUAAGCCCAUAUAAAGUUGUUUUGUUUCCCCUGUUUUGGGUUGUUAUCUUUUUCUGUUUAUUUCACAUUACAAUAAAACAUUAUAUUGUAAGAACUAAUGUUAACAUGUCUUUUAUACUCACAGUAUAAAAGGCAAUAUGCAGUAUACAUUAGCUGUCCAGAAUAGCUCUCAUAUCACGCUAAGGCUGUUUGGUACAUAGGACCAUUCAACACUGGUCACUAACAAAGCUAACAAUCAGUACGGGGUAAGGUAAGCCAUAUGACUACGAAGGAAUCCUUAGAGCGCAUGUGAUGUGCCUCCUUGUUGCAGGCGGAUUUCCACAGCUCUUCUAUCUAAUGCUGCUUCCCGAAGGGUCCACAGUUAUGGCUCUCGGUUCAUCUAACGCCUCAGAAAUCAGCACCUUCCUGGAUGUGCCAUUAAGCCUAGCCACUUCAAUACGGUCAGUGCCUGUGUCCGUCCAAUACAGAUUGCGGGCUACCCAGUCA